AACGAACGCUGGCGGCAGGCUUAACACAUGCAAGUCGAGCGCCCCGCAAGGGGAGCGGCAGACGGGUGAGUAACGCGUGGGAAUCUACCCAUCUCUACGGAAUAACGCAUGGAAACGUGUGCUAAUACCGUAUACGUCCCUCGGGGGAAAGAUUUAUCGGAGAUGGAUGAGCCCGCGUUGGAUUAGCUAGGUGGUGGGGUAAAGGACUACCAAGGCGACGAUCCAUAGCUGGUCUGAGAGGAUGAUCAGCCACACUGGGACUGAGACACGGCCCAGACUCCUACGGGAGGCAGCAGUGGGGAAUAUUGGACAAUGGGCGCAAGCCUGAUCCAGCCAUGCCGCGUGAGUGAUGAAGGCCCUAGGGUUGUAAAGCUCUUUCACCGGUGAAGAUAAUGACGGUAACCGGAGAAGAAGCCACGGCUAACUUCGUGCCAGCAGCCGCAGUAACAC
rnacentral:rRNA from 1 species